UCAGGGCAGGGGGCACAGGCCCCGGCUCUGAGUGGGGGAUCUGGGUCGCGGCGGCAGCGGCUCUCGGGCUGAUCGGGGCAGGGCUGGGCGCUUGGUGCCUCUGGAGACGGAGGCGGGGCAGGAACCAACGGAAUCAAAACAAACGAGAGAACGAAACAGGGCCCCGUUUAUCCCCCUCGGAAGAGCCGCGGCUUGGAGCCAAAUCAACCGAAAGACGCCUCGUGCCCCAGAGUCAGGAAAGAAAAGUGAGAGAGUGAGGGGCACAGGUAGGGAUUCGGGGGGGGGCAGGGCUGGGCUGGGCUGGGCUGGG
rnacentral:lncRNA from 1 species